GAAACAGUUGAAAAUCAAUAAGGGGGUAACAUGUUUGAUUAACUUUGGAGCAUAAAGUUGAAUGACCAGUUCAAAAUGACUGUCAAAUAACUAUCUGCAUUUAUGUUGUUUUUAAAUGUGACAACUGGUUCUUCUUUUCUUGUUUGGGAAAUGUUACUAAUGUUUAAUUAUUAUUCUGAACCUGCACAUAAUCAAUAAUACUGAACAUGCACACUAAGUCCUAAGGUAAAAACUGUUGAGUAAUACUUGGCAGGGAUUUUUUAAGUUUCAACAGUGGGGAGUUUUCACAUUUGAAAGUCUGAAGAAAAAAACGGUUAGUCUGUGAAUCUUUAUUUUAUUCUGGGAAUUUUAUAACUGUACAAUUUCUUUCAGAUAUUCAAAUCAUUUUAUGGAUCAGUUUAUUUGUGAUUUGAUUUGGGAUUUUGCAACUAUAUUGAAAUAAAUAACAAUUCAAGAAUUAGCUAUAUACUAAAAGAAGGAUGCCAUUGUUUGAUGGAUAUACUUAUAUUCUUUUCACAUACAGGUUAAGGUUUAGGGUAAGGCAUAAGGAACAUUCGGGCUGGCAAUGAGAAGAAAUCGUCCGGUUACGUAUACUGAUAAUAAAACAAGACAAUCACAUUCAUUAAAAGGCCACAUCUUUUCAUUUGACAUUUAUCAGUUGGCCAGAUUUAUGUCAAAAGUUCAAAGCUGGCUUAAAUUGUUGUUUUUGCACCUUUAAAGGUUAGACACCAUUGUUUGGUCUCACAUCUCUUAUGAGUUUACACCUAACAGGAAAGUAAGAAAAGUAAAUGACUCUGUCUACAACUGCUAUUGUAGAGUAAGCUUAUCUCUCUACAAUUUGACAUAAAGUCUUCAUGCUUCCAUUCAUUAUUGAUAAGCCCCAUACCACUAUAGAGCCAUGGCGUGUCUUUGUUCUGGAUGUCAGGAGUCCUACUAUUUGGAAACAAACAAAGUUGUUUGAUUAGUAAUAAUGAAACUAGGCCACGCCAGAAAGCAAAUUGUCCUUGCUGACCAACAGCAGAUCUAAUCUCGUAGAAGGCCUAUCUCUCUAAUUAUUAAACCGAUACCAGAGAGAUUGAUGCUUUGGAAAACACAAUCAAUCCAGGUUUCUACUGAGAAAGGUGGUUUGUGUUGCAAAAUUCAAUAUAAAGAAUUGAAUGGAAAAAUGAAAAAAAGUCUGAAAAUAACAUUUCAUUUGAAAUGUAGAUAAACAACAUAAAGACAUGCACAGAGUAAAAAGUUGGAGAGAUAAGGAGCUGUUCCUGAUUGGAGGAAAUGGGACACGUGACCGUGCUCAUUUACGUGUGGACAGGCAGGUGAGCGUGGGAGAAAAUAGUUUGAGCUAUGUCGCGAACACACCAGCACCUGACGGGAUUAAGAGUCCUGUCGCUUUGCCAGAGCAUCUUCCUUUGAACCAGGAGUCACCACAGGCCGUCGGUCCGCUCACCUGGACGGACGCUCAGUAACCGGAAGAUUCCUCUCUUUUGUUUCCAUCUUAACAGUGUUGGUCCAGAUGUAAGGGCACAGGCCUCAGACCUGAUCAGUACUUCCUCAUCGCCAGCUGUCUGUCACCAUGGUGAUGCAGGUGUUGAUGGCCCCUGCUGUGUCCGUCCUGGUUUCCACCGUGCUGUCGCUGCUCAGCCUGGCUCUGCUGCUGCUGCUGUGUGUCAUCAGGAAGAAAAGGAGGAUGGAGGGAACAUACAGGCCCAGUGCGGAGGAGAGGAAACAGACGGGAUCGGGCGAAAAACCAAGCCUGCCUCUCCCGUUGCCGAAAGAGGAACGCCUCAUAUGACAGACGUUUGGAGAUGGACCCACCCUCUGUCCCUGUGUAUCCUGUGGAUCCAAUCCUCCUGUUCUCUGACGUCUCUGUGCUGCGCUCCUCUAGAAUGAUCUAUGUUUGCCUUUGGCGCCAGAAAAUCUUCAAAAACACUAUUUGUGCUGCACGUUUUUCUUCUUGGGGACAACAAAUACAUAGAUCAGACUUUCAAUCAAAUCCCCCGACUCACUGCAUGGGAAGGGAAAAUAUGUGUCAUCUCAGAUCCUGUUGUAUUGCUUCAUAAAAAUCCCUCACUCCCUUUGUUUUGCCGGAUAAGAAACAUGAGCUGAAGUAUAUUUUGUAUUGUCGAGAAAUGAGUAUAUUUUACUGUACUGUGUGUUCUGUGUAUUUAUAUCUAAAACAUUUAGUGUUUUACACUAUUUCCAGUUAUGAAGGAUAUUGAUUCAAAUGAUUACUGUGAUGCACUUUUAUGUCAAGCUCUAAGAAGCUCAAUUUCUCUAAAUCAGUAUGUGUGGUACGCGAGGUGUUCUAUUAAUAAACCAGGUAUGAAUACCUUUUUUUA